UACGAGGGGGGCGAGCGUGUUUCGGAAUUAUUGGGCGUAAAGGGUGCGUAGGCGGUUUGGUAAGUCUUAUGUGAAAUCUACAGGCUCAACUUGUAGUCUGCAUGAGAAACUGCCGGGCUUAGUAUGGGAGAGGUGAGUGGAAUUCCUGGUGUAGCGGUGAAAUGCGUAGAUAUCAGGAGGAACACCUGUGGCGAAAGCGGCUCACUGGACCAUAACUGACGCUGAUGCACGAAAGCUAGGGGAGCAAACAGG
rnacentral:rRNA from 1 species